UACGGGGGGGGCAAGCGUUGUUCGGAAUUACUGGGCGUAAAGGGUUCGUAGGUGGCCUGCUAAGUCAGACGUGAAAUCCCUCGGCUUAACCGGGGAACUGCGUCUGAGACUGGCGGGCUUGAGUACAGGAGAGGAACGCGGAAUUCCAGGUGUAGCGGUGAAAUGCGUAGAUAUCUGGAGGAACACCGGUGGCGAAGGCGGCGUUCUGGACUGUUACUGACACUGAGGAACGAAAGCCAGGGGAGCAAACAGG
rnacentral:rRNA from 1 species